GAUGAACGCUAGCUACAGGCUUAACACAUGCAAGUCGAGGGGAAACGGCAUCGAAAGCUUGCUUUUGAUGGGCGUCGACCGGCGCACGGGGGAGUAACGCGUAUCCAACCUGCCCAUCACUUGGGAAUAACCUUGCGAAAGUAAGACUAAUGCCCAAUGACAUCCCACGAAGGCAUCCGAAUGGGAUUAAAGAUUUAUCGGUGAUGGAUGGGGAUGCGUCUGAUUAGCUUGUUGGCGGGGUGACGGCCCACCAAGGCAACGAUCAGUAGGGGUUCUGAGAGGAAGGUCCCCCACAUUGGAACUGAGACACGGUCCAAACUCCUACGGGAGGCAGCAGUGAGGAAUAUUGGUCAAUGGGCGAGAGCCUGAACCAGCCAAGUAGCGUGCAGGAUGACGGCCCUAUGGGUUGUAAACUGCUUUUAUAAGGGAAUAAAGUGGGUCACGUGUGACUUUUUGCAUGUACCUUAUGAAUAAGGACCGGCUAAUUCCGUG
rnacentral:rRNA from 1 species